rnacentral:lncRNA from 1 species
CCAAAACCCCAGGAACGUAGCUGGAAAUUCCUGAGAGGAAGAAGAGAGGGAAGAAGGAAGAUUUUUCGUGGAUUAUCGAAUUAGAUUGUAUUCGAUCAUCUCUCUACGGGAGAGAAAAGGGGGUGUAUAUAUAGAAUAACGGAACCCUAAAUAUCCUGAAUCUCAUAUAGAUUAGGAUAAAGAUCAGGAUAUCUAUUAACAUAUAAUAGAUAUCUACUAGUAGAUACGUUUCUUAACUGAUAAGAAACAUAUGAUUCAUUCUUAUCCUAAAUUUAUUAGAAUAAAUCAUGAU